GUAGGUAUAGUUUAAAAAAAACCUUAGAUUGUGAAUCUAACAAUAGAAGACUAAGACUCUCUUACUUACC
rnacentral:tRNA from 1 species